UACAGAGGUCUCAAGCGUUGUUCGGAUUCAUUGGGCGUAAAGGGUGCGUAGGCGGCGAGGUUAGUCAGGUGUGAAAUCUCGGGGCUCAACCCCGAAACUGCACUUGAUACUGCCUUGCUAGAGUACUGGAGAGGAGAUUGGAAUUUACGGUGUAGCAGUGAAAUGCGUAGAUAUCGUAAGGAAGACCAGUGGCGAAGGCGAAUCUCUGGACAGUUACUGACACUGAGGCACGAAGGCCAGGGGAGCAAACAGG
rnacentral:rRNA from 1 species